CCUACGGGUGGCUGCAGUGGGGAAUUUUCCGCAAUGGGCGCAAGCCUGACGGAGCAAUACCGCGUGGGGGAGGAAGGUCUGUGGAUUGUAAACCCCUUUUCUCAGGGAAGAAGCUCUGACGGUACCUGAGGAAUCAGCAUCGGCUAACUCCGUGCCAGCAGCCGCGGUAAUACGGAGGAUGCAAGCGUUAUCCGGAAUUAUUGGGCGUAAAGCGUCCGCAGGCGGCUAGAUAAGUCUGCUUUCAAAGAGUGGGGCUCAACCCCAUAAAGGGAGUG
rnacentral:rRNA from 1 species